GACGAAGGAUGCAAGCGUUAUCCGGAUUCAUUGGGUUUAAAGGGAGCGUAGGCGGACUUAUAAGUCAGUGGUGAAAUCUCCGAGCUUAACUCGGAAACUGCCAUUGAUACUGUAAGUCUAGAGUACAGUUGCCGUUGGCGGAAUAUGACAUGUAGUGGUGAAAUACUUAGAUAUGUCAUAGAACACCGAUUGCGAAGGCAGCUAACGAAGCUGUAACUGACGCUGAGGCGCGACAGCGUGGGGAGCAAACAGG
rnacentral:rRNA from 1 species